UACAGAGGGUGCGAGCGUUAAUCGGAUUUACUGGGCGUAAAGCGUGCGUAGGCGGUUGGGUAAGUCGGAUGUGAAAGCCCUGGGCUUAACCUGGGAAUGCCAUUCGAUACUGCCCGACUCGAGUUCGGUAGGGGAGACUGGAAUUCCUGGUGUAGCGGUGAAAUGCGCAGAUAUCAGGAGGAACACCGGUGGCGAAGGCGGGUCUCUGGGCCGAUACUGACGCUGAGGAGCGAAAGCGUGGGGAGCGAACAGG
rnacentral:rRNA from 1 species